GAGCUUGUAGCUCAGGGGCUAGAGCACGUGGCUACGAACUACGGUGUCGGGGGUUCAAAUCCUCCCUUGCUCA
rnacentral:tRNA from 1 species